rnacentral:rRNA from 1 species
CAAAAAAGUCGGGGAUGAGUUGUGGCUAGGGGUGAAAGGCCAAUCAAACUUGCAGAUAGCUGGUUCUCUGCGAAAGCUAUUUAGGUAGCGCCUCGUAUAUCACCAUUGGGGGUAGAGCACUGGAUGGGCUAGGGGGCUUCACCGCUUACCAAACCUAACCAAACUCCGAAUACCAAUGAGUGCUGAGUACGGGAGACACACGGCGGGUGCUAACGUCCGUCGUGAAGAGGGAUAAAAACCCUGACCUACAGCUAAGGCCCCCAAUUCAUGGCUAAGUUGGAAAGGAUGUGAGGUUCCCAAAACAAUCAGGAUGUUGGCUUAGAAGCAGCCAUCAUUUAAAGAAAGCGUAACAGCUCACUGAUCUAAAUAAGGAACUUUGCGCCGAAGAUGUAACGGGGAUUAAGCCAUGAGCCGAAGCUUAGGAUUCACAGCAAUGUGAAUGGUAGCAGAGUGUUCUGUAUGCCUGCGAAGGGUGAGCGUGAGCGAGCCUGGAGGUAUCAGGAGUAAGAAUGCUGACAUGAGUAGCGAUAAAGAGGGUGAGAGACCCUCUCGCCGUAAGUCCAAGGGUUCCUGCGUCAAGUUAAUCUGCGCAGGGUUAGCCGGCCCCUAAGGCAAGGCCGAAAGGCGUAGUCGAUGGGAAUGCGGUAAAUAUUCCGCAGCCUGUGGGUAGUGACGGAUCAAGUAACUUGUUCGACCUUACUGGAUUGGUCGGGCCGGGAAUUGGUCCCAGGAAAUAGCUCCCACUUAUAGCCCGUACCCCAAACCGACACAGGUGGACUGGCAGAGUAUGCUAAGGCGCUUGAGAGAACUGUGUUGAAGGAACUAGGCAAAUUGCCCUCGUAACUUCGGAAGAAGAGGGCCCGGUAUCGACGCAAGUCUUUGCCGGGGGCACAUAGCAGGGGGUGGCGACUGUUUACUAAAAACACAGGGCGCUGCGAAAUCCAAAGAUGACGUAUAGCGUCUGACGCCUGCCCGGUGCUGGAAGGUUAAGAGGAGAUGUGAAAGCGUUGAAUCGAAGCCCCAGUAAACGGCGGCCGUAACAAUAACGGUCCUAAGGUAGCGAAAUUCCUUGUCGGGUAAGUUCCGACCUGCACGAAAGGCGUAACGACUUCCCCACUGUCUCCAACACAGGCUCAGCGAAAUUGAAUUCCCCGUGAAGAUGCGGGGUUCCCGCGGUCAGACGGAAAGACCCCGUGCACCUUUACUGCAACUUUACACUGGCAUUAGGAAUGGGAUGUGUAGAAUAGGUGGUAGGCAUUGAAGCCGAGGCGCUAGCCUUGGUGGAGCCGAAAUGUGAAAUACCACCCUUCUUGUUCCUGAUGUCUAACCGCGGUCCCUGAACGGGAUCCGAGACAGUGUAUGGUAGGCAGUUUGACUGGGGCGGUCGCCUCCC